GCCUGCAUGGCAUAGUGGUUUGAUUGUUGGGCUAGGAUUCUGAAGACCAGGGUUCGAUUCCCAGAUUGGCCA